rnacentral:lncRNA from 10 species
GGUAACCACAUUUCCCAGUUGACUACUACCGGUAAUAAAAUCAAAUGGAUUCAGUGCUCACAACUCUUCAGUCUUUGGGCUACUUUCCAUUCUUGAAUUUUUAGCUGAAUUCAUCUCUUUGGCUGGAUUUUGUGAAUCGGGCAGCCAUUAGAACCAAAACAGUUCUGAGGAGCUCCCAGGCUGCAAUGUGGUGCGAAAUGUUUUAUGGACAGAAAAUGGAAAUGAGGUGCAGAAAUUGGAGGAAAGUCACGUUUCAGUGUUUUGGUUUUGGUGAAUGCCCACAACAAGGCUAGUGAAGGAAGGAGGCAUAGUAGGAAGCUGUUGGCCAGACGAGCUUUUAGAAGACCCUUGCUACAUAGAGAGGACGUAGAAAAUGUCUUUAUCAUUAGUUGUAUUUCCAGGCUGAGACAAUACAAAAGAUGGACAGCUCUAAGUUGAUUAUCAAGCUUUAAAUAUGUUUCACUUGAUUAAGAACAUUGAAGGUGAGAAUGGAAUUAUGUAGGCUUCACUGAGUAUCCGUAAAGUUGGGAACAAUGAUAUACAACACAGAAAAGAAGCUCCAUAAGAAAACAGCUGCAACUAACCCAUCUGGAAAGAGACCUCAAUCAAAAUGAUACUUAGCGAAAGAAAAAUACUUUCAGUGAUCAAAUUAUUUGUCUGACCAAUGCUUGGUGGAAAGAUUCCACAUUACUAGUUAUUUGUAAUGGGUAAUUGCACAAUAUACUGUAUUGUUCAAUCUGGUGUGAAUGAAAGUGGGG